AAAUGAUCAAACAUGUUCAGCAAAGAAUCUCCAUUAAAUUUUAUCAAAAACUCGAUCAUAAGCAAUUAGAGAUAAUUGAAAAGAUAUAAAAUUGAAUGGAAAAAUUUAAUGCAGAGUGUAUCGAUUCUAUAAUUCAACUGGAAACACGAAAUGCGAUGAAUUCACAACUAUCACGGCUGUCUACCAGCAAUUGAAGAACGGCGCAGUCUGUAUGGUCCUACAUGACCUUUGUAAAGGGUCAAAGACAGGGUUACUGCAUUAGUUCUGUCACCGGACUGCAGCAAAAAGAAAAUAAGGCGGAUAUACUUUUCGAUCAGACGUAUAUCGUAUAUAAUAACCAAUAUCUGAUGAACAGCAGAUGGAGUCAAAUAUGGACAAAUAUGUGGAAAGACACUAUCAACCAAUGAGCGUAAUAAAUGAUUAUUCCUAGAUAAAAGAGAUAAUAAAAGAUCUACUAUUACUUCGACCCAUUGUGGUUCUUCUGGUGUAGGAUCUGAGAAUAAUUGUAGACUCAUGUGUAAAUUCAUCGUAUGAAAUAUUGGUAAGGCAAUUGCAUUUUUUGUAUUUUUUUCUAGUUUUUCAAUCAAAUCUAUUGCUCUUCUCCAAGCAUCAG